CCCAUGUUUUAGAUUCUUUCAGAUAGUCAGACUUGUUUCCAGUUUUAUUAGCAAUUAAGACAUAUUGAGUAUUGUUUAGUAUUUCAUCUUAACAGAACUUUUAUCAGCUCCGCUUCCAUAUAUGAUAUUUUAUUAUUAUUUUAUUCAGUGCUCAUAACAGAUGCCAGAUCAUGGAUUAACUUAGGGUUUUUUUGGCCUUAAGUAUAAUGUUACGACUAGGGGGUUGUCUCGGAUCAUGACAAAACUUAGUGUCAAAGCCUAAGGUUUUAAAGUAUCAUAGGGUGUCUGAAAGACGCAUUGAAUAGAGUCUUGUGUAUGGGUGUAAAGCAAGUCAUAUUUAUGUGCUAAAGGCUACGAGACGUUUUAGGAAAGUUUCCCUUUUUCAGUAUACAUGUCAUGCAAAAGACCGUGAGCUCUAUUUAAUUUCCUUUUCUUACUCGUCCUUCAUCCGAAUACAGAAAAUGACUCCCAAAAAAAAUAACGUUAGAAGGAAUGAGGAUCAACCCGCACCACCUGUUCAAGAAGACCCUCUGA
rnacentral:lncRNA from 1 species